CAGCAGUGGGGAAUAUUGCUACAAUGGGCGCUAAGCCUUGAUGCAGUCCAUGCCGCGUGUAUGAAGUAAGGCCUUCGGGUUGUAAAGUACUUUCAGCAGUGAGGAAGGUGGGUAUGUUAAUAGCAUAUCAUUUUGACGUUAGCUGCAGAAGAAGCACCGGCUAACUCCGUGCCAGCAGCCGCGGUAAUACGGAGGGUGCGAGCGUUAAUCGGAAUUACUGGGCGUAAAGCGCAUGCAGGUGGUUUGUUAAGUCAGAUGUGAAAGCCCGGGGCUCAACCUCGGAAUUGCAUUUGAAACUGGCAAACUAGAGUACUGUAGAGGGGGUAGAAUUUCAGGUGUAGCGGUGAAAUGCGUAGAGAUCUGAAGGAAUACCGGUGGCGAAGGCGGCCCCCUGGACAGAUACUGACACUCAGAUGCGAAAGCGUGGGGAGCAAACAGGAUUAGAUACCCCUGGUAG
rnacentral:rRNA from 1 species